rnacentral:rRNA from 1 species
CAAUAGCGUAUAUUAAAGUUGUUGCAGUUAAAAAGCUCGUAGUCGGAUUUUGGCAUCACGCCGAACUGUCAGCCGAUUGGUUUGUACGGUUUGGCGGGUGCUCUCCUUCCGGAAGCUCGUUCCCUUCUUAGUUGACGGGUUCGAUGGUUCCGGGUCUUUUACUUUGAAAAAAUUAGAGUGUUCAAAGCAGGCCUAUGCUCUGAAUAGGUUAGCAUGGAAUAAUAGAAUAGGACUUUGGUUCUAUUUUGUUGGUUUCUAGGACCGAAGUAAUGAUUAAUAGGGACAGUUGGGGGCAUUCAUAUUCCAAUGUCAGAGGUGAAAUUCUUGGAUUAUCGGAAGAUGAACUUCUGCGAAAGCAUCUGCCAAGGAUGUUUUCAUUGA